rnacentral:rRNA from 1 species
AAAGGAAUUGACGGGGGCCCGCACAAGCAGUGGAGUAUGUGGUUUAAUUCGACGCAACGCGCAGAACCUUACCCGGUCUUGACAUCCUUGGAACUCCCUUGAAAGAGGGAGGUGCUACCGCAAGGUAGAGCCAAGAGACAGGUGCUGCAUGGCUGUCGUCAGCUCGUGUCGUGAGAUGUUCGGUUAAGUCCGGCAACGAGCGCAACCCCUGUUGUUAGUUGCUACCAGUUCGGCUGAGCACUCUAACGAGACUGCCGGUGAUAAACCGGAGGAAGGUGGGGAUGACGUCAAGUCCUCAUGGCCUUUAUGAUCGGGGCUACACACGUACUACAAUGGCUACUACAAAGAGCAGCGAGACCGCGAGGUGGAGCAAAUCUCAAAAAAGUAGCCUCAGUUCGGAUUGGAGUCUGCAACUCGACUCCAUGAAGUUGGAAUUGCUAGUAAUCGCGGAUCAGAAUGCCGCGGUGAAUACGUUCCCGGGCCUUGUACACACCGCCCGU